CGGAAUUUCAGAAAACCAGACACAGCUUUUAGGAUGCCAAAUGAAGUCCUUAACUGGAUGCCCAAUUUGUCCCUGCAAGCUCCCUUUAAGAACUGAAAGGCCACAAUAAAGUCUCUCCGCAGCCUUCUGGUUUCUGGAUGCACAAUCAGGAGAACAGUACAUGCUGCACGGAGUAGCUUGCUCCUGAGAAUCUCCAAGCAUUGAUCUGAAUGCUGGGUAACUUCAGGUUUACAAGCCCCCCCACCCCUCAGCCCUUCCUUUGGAUCCCAGCAUUACGGACAUUGCAUGAAGCCCUGUUUUCUGUGCACUGGAGUGACCCAUUUGCCUCUGGGGAUGGGCAGCCGAUGACUUGAAUACAGCCCUGGUGGUGGAGACUGAGUUCUGAGCAAACGCCAGUGAAUGGGGAGGCAGAAGCAGGCACAGAUCAGCAAGUUGGGCCUGCAAGAUAGUGAAAGGAGUUAUGAAAUAUAGUGCUAUAAAAAUUCUUCUGUGGGGUUCUCAAACCAUUGGCAUGUCUCUGUUAUGGUUUAUGGCAUUUCUGGCAUGGUGGAGAAUGACAGCCCUGUCUUUCAGUGUUCAGGCUUAUUUAUUGUCCGUCAUUGCCUUUGAGCCAGCUGUUCCAGACAGCCUGUCCCAGAAAUUGGAACAACUGCUUUUCGUCAAAGCCAGCUGAGCUGCAUGAUCUGCAGGCAAACAGCAUUCUGG